UACGUAGGGGGCUAGCGUUGUCCGGAUUUAUUGGGCGUAAAGAGCGUGUAGGCGGCCAGGUAGGUCUGGUGUGAAAACUCGAGGCUUAACCUUGAGAUGUCAUCGGAAACCAUUUGGCUAGAGUCCGGAAGAGGAAAGUGGAAUUCCUGGUGUAGCGGUGAAAUGCGCAGAUAUCAGGAAGAACACCAAUGGCGAAAGCAGCUUUCUGGGACGGUACUGACGCUGAGAACGCGAAAGCGUGGGGAGCGAACAGG
rnacentral:rRNA from 1 species